rnacentral:rRNA from 1 species
UACGGAGGGUGCAAGCGUUAUCCGGAUUCACUGGGUUUAAAGGGAGCGUAGGUGGGUUGGUAAGCCAGUGGUGAAAUCCCCGAGCUUAACUUGGGAACUGCCAUUGAUACUAUCAGUCUUGAAUACUGUGGAGGUUAGCGGAAUAUGUCAUGUAGCGGUGAAAUGCUUAGAUAUGACAUAGAACACCAAUUGCGAAGGCAGCUGGCUACACAAAUAUUGACACUGAGGCUCGAAAGCGUGGGGAUCAAACAGG